ACAUUCGCCACUCUCCGGCCAGCUACCAGGAGAUGAACUCAGCUCUGGCCGAGCUCUCAGGGAGCUACACCUCUGCUCCUCACUGUCUGGAAGCCCUGCACGAACUCUACAACCACAUCCACAGGUAUUACGACCAGAUCAUCAGCGCCCUGGAGGAGGACCCUGUAGGCCAGAAGAUGCAACUGGCCUGCCGCCUGCAGCAGAUCGCCGCCCUGGUGGAGAACAAAGUGACUGACCUGUGAGCUCUGGCCACAGCCGGCACCUGAGGCCCACCAGCUUAGAGAGCAGCAAGCAGGACCUGCCACCACAGUGCCUUAAGACCCCUGGAUGGAGCCAGCAACCGAAGAGGGCCGACAGAGAGUGGGGGGUUUCUUGUCACCUCCCCCCCACCCCAGCCUCUUCUCUCUCCCGGGCUUCUUUCUAAUUUAUAGCAAUCCUUCCCUCUGUUCCCUCAUUGUAUUUAUUUGCUUGCUGGAGAACUGCAUCUCGAAAUAAAAUAGAAAUUUGUCUUUUUAGUAAAA